rnacentral:rRNA from 1 species
GACAGAGGCCUCAAGCGUUAGGCGGAAUCACUGGGCUUAAAGCGUGUGUAGGCGGAUCGUUAAGUACCUUGUGAAAUCCCACGGCUCACCCGUGGGACUGCUGGGUAUACUGGCGAUCUUGGGCCAACUAGGGGCAGCUGGAACAAGCGGUGGAGCGGUGAAAUGCGUAGAUAUCGCUUGGAACGCCAAAGGUGAAAACAGGCUGCUGGGGUUGUGCCGACGCUGAGACACGAAAGCCAGGGGAGCAGACGGG